GACGAACGCUGGCGGCGUGCCUAACACAUGCAAGUCGAACGGAGGGGCGAACGGGUGAGGAACACGGGGGUGAACUGCGGUGACCUUCGGGUUAAAGUGGGGAAACAGGGGCUAAUAGGGGAUAGUGCAAGAUGAGGUCGCGGCCUAUCGGCUGGUUGGUGGGGGAAUGGCCUACCAGGGCGUCGACGGGUAGCCCGCCUGAGAGGGUGUACGGCGCCAUUGGGCCUGAGAUACGGAGCAGGCUCGUACGUGCGGCAGCAGUGGGGAGUAUUACACAAUGGGCCGGAGCCUGAUGCAGCGGCGCCGGGUGGGGGAUGCAGGCCUUCGGGUUGUAAACUCCUUUCGACAGGGCCGCGGUACCUGUAUAAGAAGCACCGGCUAACUACGUGCCAGCAGCCGCGGUAAUUC
rnacentral:rRNA from 1 species